rnacentral:rRNA from 1 species
CGUGUAGGCGGCCAAGUAAGUGAAAUGUGAAAUUCCCCGGCUUACCCGGGGACCUGCAUCUCAUACUGCUUGGCUCGAGUACGGGAGAGGAUGAGGGAAUUCCUGGUGUAGCGGUGAAAUGCGUAGAUAUCAGGAGGAACACCGGUGGCGAAAGCGCUCAUCUGGCCCGAUACUGACGCUGAGGCGCGAAAGCUAGGGGAGCAAACGGGAUUAGAUACCCCGGUAGUCCUAGCCGUAAACGGUGAGCACUAGGUGUUGGAGGCAUCGACCCCUCCAGUGCCGCAGCUAACGCAUUAAGUGCUCCGCCUGGGGAGUACGGCCGCAAGGUUGAA